AGUAGGAAUAAUUAGUGCAUGGCUCUUAAUUGGGUCAUGCCUUUAUUAAUUUGACCGUAGUAUGUAUAUAUAAUACAUAUAUCCUAACUAGAGUAAUUCUAAUUCAAUUAAAAUUACACUUUUAAUUAUAAUCCAUAUGUACCAAAUUAAAUUCAAUACCAAUUAAAUUAGAAUUUAACUUUAAUUUAGAUAACUACAAAUCUAAACCAAAUUAUAACAAAAGGAAACCAAAUUUAAACCAAAAAAAAAGGAAAAAUGAAUAAAUAAGGCGCCCGGUUGACCUCUUACAACUGGAGCCGCCGUUGUUCAAGAUUGGACGAAAUAUAUCAGAUUGGAGUCAUUGGACGAAGAAUGACAGAUCUGGAAAAUUGAUGUACUUAACAAUAUAUAUAUAUAUAUAUAUAUAGAGAGAGAGAGAGAGUCCGGCUAUAGUGUUUUAAAAGCACCAAGCAUUUGGUGCUUAUAAAUUUUUUACCGUUAAAUCUACGGCUUUGAUCAUUUUCAUCCGUUAUAUUAUACUAUUCGACCAACCACCCACUCAACCCAAAAAACCCCACAUCAUCCUAACCGUACAUCUAUUAAUUCAAAGAUUAAAAACAUACCAGCACCAAUGACUUAGUACUUUUAAAAAUAUAGAGCUCAAUUUUAUAUAUAUAUAUAUAUAUAUAAAUAAAACUGGGCUACUAUGCUAUUAAUAGCACCAAGUCAUUGAUACUACCAAGUUUUUGGCCACUGGAUUAAGAGAUAUGUGGUUUGGAUUAUGUGGGCCCCCUAGGGUUGAGUGGG
rnacentral:lncRNA from 1 species